UUCCCCGCCCCGCCGGAGGAGGAGGAGGAGGAGGAAGGAGAGGCCGCGCCGCCCUCCCCGCGCUGAGGGAGGAGGGACCGGGAGCCGCAACCCGCCGAGGGCAGUCCCGUCUCUUACCCCGCUGCUCCUCCGCUCCUGGGCCCGGGAAGCGCCGCUCCACAGGGGCUGGGUCCCGGCUCCGGCGGAAAGGCACCGCCGCGUAACUGGAAAACAGGGAGAAAAAAAUGUCAAAGAAACGGGAAAAGCGGAAAGCGAGCUCUUGGGUUUUUCACGCAGCGACCGCGGCGCGGAGUUCGGUGGCAGAGAACAGAAAAUGGAUGUCUGAGAAUUCUUUUCCAGGGGCAGGUGACGGGGGGUGAGGUGUUAUGGGAAGAGCGGAUUUCUGGGCUGUGUCUGUCAGAAAGGAGUCCUGCAAGAAAAUGCAGUGCAGGGGCCUGAAUUUCAUCUUUGUCAGCCUCACCUCCUCUGGUGCUGUAUAUGUUGUCAAAUGAUAACACCUCGCUUCUCCUGGAAGAGAGUUAACAGAAUUCAUAACGCAGAAAUCUCAGCCUCUCUGAGAGCAGCAUGUACAGUGAUCUCAAAAUUAGUGGGAUUUUAUCCAGGGAAAUAAAUGUUAAGUAGCUUCUUGUAUCCUGAAGGUUCUUUUCUGCAUAAGGAUUAACAGUUUGCUAAAGGUUACAGUUUCUGCUGUCCACGCUUCUCUGGUUUAAAACUAUUUGUUUCUGCUGUUGCUGCGUGACAAGCACAAGAAGAAACGACUUCUCAUCACCUGUGGUGUGUUUGUUUAAUAUCUGCACACCAGGCGUUGUGACUCACAGCAAAUCUUAGGCAACGCUCCACGCAAACAUCAACAGCUUAGGGGACAGCUUUCUCAAGCUGACAUUUAAAUAAACUGAUGAGCUGCAGAUAUAAACUAGAUAGUUGGAGCAGAGCUCUGUGUACCUUUUCCUUUUCACAUCCAGGACCACGUAGACCAGGAAGGCGAUGAAGGUGCAGGCCAGGACGACGCUGAGCACGAUGGCUGCCAUGAGCUCCGGGCUCGUCGAGGCGGCAGGAGUCUCCCCUAUGGUAGCAGUGACAGAGGUGGAAAACACCUUCUCCAGUUCUGCCUCGAUGUUUCUAGACUGCUCCUUGAGUUUUCUGAAGAAAAGAAGGAUAAGAUGAGAUGACUUAACCAGGCCUUCGUUUUGGCCGGAGGAAAAGAAGAAAAUAUCCCUCCCUGGUCCGCCAGGAUCUUUUCCGAAAAUUCAGACUUGUCGUGGCUUUCAUUCAGGAAACCCUCUGUUCUCUGAGCAACCAGCCCUGGUGCUUGUGACCUAAAAUGCUGCAAAGCUUGGACAACUGAACUUGAGAGAUCAGUAAAUCCUCUAAAUCCACGUCACUGUCGUGUUAUGAAACAAAUGUAAAAUACACCUAAAGUGUAAAAUUUUUAAUCAGCAAUCUGCUGUUGUAAAGUCAAUGUAUUUUAAUUACAUUCUUUCUGCUUCAGCUGUUUUUUCUUAAA